CCCCUACUGCCGCAUUGGUGGCAGAGGGAAGGCUCUUGGCACAGCCGGCUCCUUUCGCCGAGAAUGCCCUGGCCAAGCGCCCCGCCCACUGGGCUCCUGGUCCCCAGACCAGCCUGUGGUCCAGCACACAGCGGAGAAACAGAGCUACGAAAACAUGCCUGCUGAGCCCAGUGCCCUCACCCUCACCCGGGGAAGUCAGGGCCUUCCUGGGCCGCCAGCCCUGCGAUGAAAGGGAGCCGCUGGCCUGGAACCACGUGGGCCAGUGGUUGGAACCAGGGCAAGGUCGGAGGAAAGGGCAGAACCUGGACCCUGUCAGAAACCGGGGCCGGAGCGUGGCGGACAGGCGCCCUCCUCCUCUGGCCCUGCGGGUCAUGAACGCCAGACGCAUACCUUCCAUUGUCUGCGGUGGCUGCGGGCAGGCCCGGGCCUCCCGGUCUGAAACCACAGGCGGCUGGUCUGUGCUGUGAGCUCCGUGCAUCCCUCCGGCUGUCGUUGCCAAGUUCUGAGCUCUCAGACACAUGCAAAGAUGAGCAAACACGCCCUGGAAACUCAUCUGCGGCUCAUUAGAGGGAAAGGAGGCUCCCGGGGACUCUGAACUCCACUCUGCGGAUGGCCGGGAAGGGGGCCUCUUGGCUGUGCCUUGUCCUCCCUCCUGUGCUCAGGCUGCGUCUGGGUGUCCAGCAUCACGGAAAGACACUGGCUUAGAGAGCAAAGAAUCCACUCCCUGUCCCAGCUCGGCCACCAUCGGACUGUGUGGCCGUGGGCACAGCCUGGAUCUCUCGGGGCCUCGGUUGCUGUAUUUGCCAGCGGGGAGACUCGGCCUUUCCCUGCCUGCCUCUCUCUCUCGGAGGAGGGGAGGCUCCAUCAGGAGGUGGUCAAGGCCAGCGAGAGCCCAAGGCAGCCGUCGUCAGAGCUGGUCUCUUCCCGACCCCGGGUCUCUCUCCCAGCCCCUCUCAGUCCCACCGUCCCACCUCCGAGAGCCUCUCCUGCUUCUCCGAAGCCCCCGGCACCUUCCUGCAGCCCCCGGCACCUUCCUGCACCCUUCCCCCACACCAACGCUAGGCCCAGAGGCAGGGCGUUCUAAUGGUGGAAGGCAAGCACCUGAGGCGGGGAGGAGGGGGAGGAUGACGUGAUGGGCCUGAAGUGACGGGGGAAAGAGGCCACCUGCACCUGUUGUACAAUCAGCCCAUAGCCCUGGGACCUGAGAACCAGAGCUCUGAAGCCUAUAAAUUAACAGAACGUGGCUGAGCAAGUAUGCGCCUGAGGGGAUGUUGGGCUGGACUCCUCGGCACCCUGUCAGAUGCCCCCUCCCCGGGUUCCCAGCUCAGUCGCCGAGGUCCGCCCACCGCAGUCCCCACGCAGCCCAGCCCGUCCGAAAGAGGAAGAAAUAAAAGAGGGCAAAUGUGAGGAAACCGUUUUAUAGCCCUUUAGUAACUGUUUUGCCAGGUUCUGUUUAUUCUGCUCAAAGCAUGUUAUAAAAAUAUUCGGCAAUUAAGGAAAGGGGGGAAAUCGCACCAGGGGAGUCCUUUUAAAAACGGG